rnacentral:rRNA from 1 species
GACGAACGCUGGCGGCGUGCUUAACACAUGCAAGUCGAACGCAGUGGGGACGGGUGAGUAACACGUGGGUAACCUCCCAUCAGAGGGGAUAACACUUGGAAACAGGUGCUAAACCGAUACUGAUGGAUGGACACGGGGUGCAUUAGCUAGUUGGUGAGGUAACGGCUCACCAAGGCCACGAUGGAUAGCGGACUGGAGGGGGGUAUCGGCCCAUCUGGGACUGGGCCACGGCCCAGACUCCGACGGGAGGAAGCAGUAGGGAAUCUUCGGAAAUGGACGAAAGUCUUACCGAGCAACGCCGCGUGAGUGAAGAAGGUUUUGGGAUCGGAAAACUCUUUUGUUAGAGAAGCGGUAUCUAACCAGAAAGCCACGGCUAACUACGUGCCAGCAGCCGCGGUAAUAC